CAGCAUUUGUCAUUGUUUUGGAUUGUUGCAAUAAUAAUAAACACUGGCAUAAAGCAAGCAUAAUUGUCCGCUCCCAUGUUGAUAAGAGCAUUAAAAACUUGAAAAAUAUCCCUUUUAAAGUACAUAACAGAUAAU